CUGGAAGACAGUAGCAUGGCAGUAGGGUUGGCAAUGUUCUUGCCCGCAGCCUGGCUAUACUGGUGCUUUGCACCUGUUUCAAAAACAGCGUAUUCACCACUGUAGCUCUCACCAGGAACCACACCAGCACCCCCCACCAGUCCUGCUGCCAAGUUGUCAACAAUGUUUCCAUAGAGACUGGGCAUCACGAGCACAUCAAAUUGGUAUGGAUUUUUCACCAACUGUAGACAACAGUUGUCUAUGAUUAUGUUCUCAAACUUGAUCUUGCCUUAUGGAGUUCAGCACUUGUUCCAGUUUCUCUUCUGUGGCCAUGUUCUCCAUCCCACUCAGAUGAUACUCCUGAAACUCCACAGGGACCAGGGCUGCCUUAAAGACUUUUCUGACAGCCUCCAUAAGCUCAGGCCCCACACCAUCACCGGGCACCAUAGUGACAGGUAUCACCUUACCCUCCUUCUCAUCACCCACCCCAUGCUUUGGCUGAGCAGAGUGGGUGGCAGCUGUGGUGAUCAGGCCCCUCCAGGCUCCAGGUCUCCGACCCACUACCAGUGAUUGGCUUAUCACACGGACACUGCCCAGGGCCGCCAUCUCCUCUUACGCCCUGGACUAGAGGAGACUUGGAAGAGCAAGUCGUCGCACCGGAAGUGACGUCAAAAAGCGCGAUGUUCCUCUUAAGUCACUAUUAGCCAGGUCUCCUGGUUGCCAGGCUGUUCUCAGAGCUGUUACUUCUCCCUACAACAGAACCUAGUAUCACCAAUCUAGAGCUGAAAUGGCCAUCGGACGUUUUAAACUUAACAACUCUAAAACUAAAAUCAUUAUCUUUGCCCCCAAACCCUCUUUCUCAUUUCCGCAUUUACUGUCAAGGAGACCACCACCUCCCCAGGCUCCCAAUGAGGGGUAUCAUCCUUAACUCCCCCUCUCUUACCCUCUACGUCCAAUCCUAAUGCAGGGCCUCAUCAUUUCUCUCCUGCAUUAUUAUAAUAGCUUUCUGGUCCUUCUCCCUGCCUCAAAUCUCUCCCCAUUCCAGUCUACCAUUCACUAGCCUUCCUCUGCUCUGCCUGCCAGUGUCCCAUCUGCUAGUAGUGAACAUGUAGUCUCCUGAAAGAAUCUCUUCUCUCUUGGUAUCCUUAAACUUCAUAUGGAAUCAGCUUUUUCAAUCUAUAUUCAUCACUUGUCUUUCCCCAAGGAAGUGUCUCAUUAAUCCCUGGAAGCUUGUAUGAGGGAAUAAACCAUUAUUAGUCAUUCA
rnacentral:lncRNA from 1 species